rnacentral:rRNA from 1 species
GAUGAACGCUGGCGGCAUGCCUUACACAUGCAAGUCGAACGGUAACAGGUCUUCGGAUGCUGACGAGUGGCGAACGGGUGAGUAAUACAUCGGAACGUGCCUAGUAGUGGGGGAUAACUACUCGAAAGAGUGGCUAAUACCGCAUGAGAUCUACGGAUGAAAGCAGGGGAUCGCAAGACCUUGUGCUACUAGAGCGGCCGAUGGCAGAUUAGGUAGUUGGUGGGAUAAAAGCUUACCAAGCCGACGAUCUGUAGCUGGUCUGAGAGGACGAUCAGCCACACUGGGGCUGAGACACGGCCCAGACUCCUACGGGAGGCAGCAGUGGGGAAUUUUGGACAAUGGGCGCAAGCCUGAUCCAGCAAUGCCGCGUGCAGGAUGAAGGCCUUCGGGUUGUAAACUGCUUUUGUACGGAACGAAAAGCCCCGGGUUAAUACCCUGGGGUCAUGACGGUACCGUAAGAAUAAGCACCGGCUAACUACGUGCCAGCCGCCGCCGUAA